rnacentral:rRNA from 1 species
AGUGAACGCUGGCGGUAGGCCUAACACAUGCAAGUCGAACGGCAGCACAGUAAGAGCUUGCUCUUACGGGUGGCGAGUGGCGGACGGGUGAGGAAUACAUCGGAAUCUACUUUUUCGUGGGGGAUAACGUAGGGAAACUUACGCUAAUACCGCAUACGACCUACGGGUGAAAGCAGGGGAUCUUCGGACCUUGCGCGAUUGAAUGAGCCGAUGUCGGAUUAGCUAGUUGGCGGGGUAAAGGCCCACCAAGGCGACGAUCCGUAGCUGGUCUGAGAGGAUGAGCAGCCAAAAGGGAACGAAAACACGGUCCAGCGUCAGACGGGAGCAAGAGUGGGGGAAUUGGGGAAAAGGGGCGCAAGCCUGACCAAGCAAUACGGGGGGAGUAAAGAAGGCCUUCGGGUUGUAAAGCCCUUUUUUGGGGAAAAAAAAAAGGCGGUUAAAACCCCCCCGUUCCUGACGGUACCCAAAAAAAAAGCCCCGGCUAACUUCGUG